rnacentral:tRNA from 1 species
CGCGGGGUAGAGCAGUUGGUAGCUCGUCGGGCUCAUAACCCGGAGGUCGGAGGUUCGAGUCCUCCCUCCGCUA